CAUUACCGAGUGCGGGCCCCUCGGGGCCCAACCUCCCACCCGUGUUGCCCGAACCUAUGUUGCCUCGGCGGGCCCCGCGCCCGCCGACGGCCCCCCUGAACGCUGUCUGAAGUUGCAGUCUGAGACCUAUAACGAAAUUAGUUAAAACUUUCAACAACGGAUCUCUUGGUUCCGGCAUCGAUGAAGAACGCAGCGAAAUGCGAUAACUAAUGUGAAUUGCAGAAUUCAGUGAAUCAUCGAGUCUUUGAACGCACAUUGCGCCCUCUGGUAUUCCGGAGGGCAUGCCUGUCCGAGCGUCAUUGCUGCCCUCAAGCCCGGCUUGUGUGUUGGGCCCCGUCCCCCCCGCCGGGGGGACGGGCCCGAAAGGCAGCGGCGGCACCGCGUCCGGUCCUCGAGCGUAUGGGGCUUCGUCACCCGCUCUAGUAGGCCCGGCCGGCGCCAGCCGACCCCCAACCUUUAAUUAUCUCAGGUUGACCUCGGAUCAGGUAGGGAUACCCGCUGAACUUAAGCAUAUCAAUAAGCGGAGGAAAAGAAACCAACCGGGAUUGCCCUAGUAACGGCGAGUGAAGCGGCAAGAGCUCAAAUUUGAAAGCUGGCCCCCUCGGGGUCCGCAUUGUAAUUUGCAGAGGAUGCUUCGGGAACGGCCCCCAUCUAAGUGCCCUGGAACGGGCCGUCAUAGAGGGUGAGAAUCCCGUCUGGGAUGGGGUGGCCGCGCCCGUGUGAAGCUCCUUCGACGAGUCGAGUUGUUUGGGAAUGCAGCUCUAAUUGGGUGGUAA
rnacentral:rRNA from 1 species